rnacentral:rRNA from 1 species
UACGUAGGGUGCGAGCGUUGUCCGGAAUUCUUGGGCGUAAAGAGCUUGUAGGCGGUUUGUCGCGUCUGCCGUGAAAAUUCGAGGCUCAACCUCGAACUUGCGGUGGGUACGGGCAGACUAGAGUGUGGUAGGGGAGACUGGAAUUCCUGGUGUAGCGGUGAAAUGCGCAGAUAUCAGGAGGAACACCGAUGGCGAAGGCAGGUCUCUGGGCCACUACUGACGCUGAGAAGCGAAAGCAUGGGGAGCGAACAGG